UACGUAGGGCGCAAGCGUUGUCCGGAAUUAUUGGGCGUAAAGAGCUCGUAGGCGGCCUGUUGCGUCCGCUGUGAAAUCCCGGGGCUCAACCCCGGGCCUGCAGUGGAUACGGGCUGGCUAGAGGCAGGCAGGGGAGAACGGAAUUCCUGGUGUAGCGGUGAAAUGCGUUGAUAUCAUUCGGAACUCCGGUGGCGAAGGCGGCUCGCUGGACCUCUUCUGACGCUGAGGCGCGAAAGCUAGGGGAGCAAACGGG
rnacentral:rRNA from 1 species